rnacentral:rRNA from 1 species
ACGAACGUUGGCGGCGUGGAUUAGGCAUGCAAGUCGGGGGAAUCCCCAGCAAUGGGGGGAACCGGCGUAAGGGGCAGUAGGGCGUGGGUACCCGCCCCGGGGUCCGGGAUAGCCCUUCGAGAGAAGGGGUAAUACCGGAUGACCUCGGGAGAGCAAAGGCUUGCCGCCCCGGGAGGGGCCCACGUGGUAUUAGCUAGUUGGUGGGGUGACGGCCCACCAAGGCGACGAUGCCUAGCGGGUGUGGGAGCACGACCCGCGCCACUGGGACUGAGACACUGGCCAGACACCUACGGGUGGCUGCAGUCGAGGAUCUUCGGCAAUGGGCGCAAGCCCGACCGAGCGACGCCGCGUGUGCGACGAAGGCCUUCGGGUUGUAAAGCACUGUCGAGGGGGAGAAAAGCCCGCAAGGGUUUGAUCCAUCCCUGGAGGAAGCACGGGCUAAGUUCGU